rnacentral:snRNA from 1 species
UAUAUCCUUAGUAAUUGAAUC